UUUGUAGAUUAAUUUAUAAUAUCUGAUUUUAGGUUCCUUAGUACCGGCGAAGCCAGGUCAAAUUCACUAGUUUAUAAUCAUCCAGACAAACCAAACACAUGAACGCCCUUAUUUCUCAAGAUCACAUCAUGUACCUGUUUAAUAGUUAGUGGCGUUUCGUUUGUGUUUACACCCAAAUGCGUAAAUUGAAUAUCCACCUUGAUUCCUCAACAUUCUCGAGCGCUCUCACGCCAGUUACUCAAUUAAGUAGCAAUAAAGAAGUUGGGAAUUCAUCCACUGUAUUGCAAUUUCAAAUGCUCAUCAACUGUUUGAUGAAAUUCCAGAGACAAAUGUAGUGUCGUGGAAUGCAUCGAUCACGAGUUAUACUCAUUAUAGGAAGUUCAGGGAAGCAAUUAAUGUGUUUUGAGAAAUACUAGCUUCUGGGAUUAAACCAGGUGAGGUCACUCUGGUUGGAGUUUUGUCAGCUUGUCCUCUUGCGGGAGCGCUUAAUCAAGGUAAGUGGAUCCAUGAUUGAAUUUCCUUUUACUGGUACAAUAGUUGCAAUUUCGCCGACCCCAUUGCCACUAAUUAAGGUGGGAGUUUCCAUAUAAUACAUUAAAGACAAAAAUAGUCCUACCUAUAUACCUUAAGGACCAUUCGUUUUUCUUUCCUCCUAUUUGUGUGCAUGGCAUGGGGAGAGGUGAUUAGACAUGACAUGACGCAGUUUCAUCUUACCGAGGAUAUGACUGUAGAUAGGAGGUUAUGGAGAACGCGGAUUAGGGUAGAAGGUUAGUGGGUAGUUGAGCGUUGUCACGAGUAUUCUUGCAUACUAGUAGUCGUAGUAUUACUCUUGUAGUUCCUGGUCCUUCGAUUUCCGCUAUUAUCUACUCUUUCUUGUACUUCGAUUACCGUAUUAAUUUGUAGGUAGUUAUGGCCCCUUUUUUCAGAUUGCUCUAUCAUGCUUUUUAUAGUAUUUUGCUAUGGUUUAUUCGCUCUCGUUAUUUCUUUUUUCAUAUUGGUAUGAAUUGCCUGUCCUUGUGCCGAGGGUCUACCGGGAACAACCUCUUCACCUCCCAAGGUAGGAAUAAGGUCUGCGUACACUCUACCCUCCCCAAACAUCACUUUGUGGGAUUUCACUGUGUAUGUUGUUGUUGUAUGCAUGGCAAUUAGUUUAUCAUUGAAAACAAGUGUACACCAGGUAAAUGAACUGGGCCUAAGAAGAGCUGGCUCUUUUAUCCUUACAAAUGUAAUGAAGAAGCAAGCACAAUCUUCCGGAUAUAAGUGUUUCUCACUGCACUGGACAGCGGAGGUACCAAAUCAAACCAUUCUAAUCUAUCUCCAUGUGGAGUAAAGCGGGCAAUGAUUGGAAUCCAAGAAUUCCCGAAAGCAUUUUGAGAAAUGGGAACAACUUCAGUUCUUCCACGCAAAUUCAUAGCAGGGGAUAGUAAAGAAGGCCGUAAUUGGCCAUGUUUGGCUUGAGCCACAUUGAUUAAAGCCUUCCAUAUGACAGCAGUCACCAGUGUUACUCUUGUAGGUUGGAUUUCAUGGUGGGUAGUAGCAUUUUUCUUGAAUAUGUCUUUAAGUUCAGCUAUUUUGGACCCAUUGAACAUAAAUCUUCUGGCUACGAUUUUCA